rnacentral:ncRNA from 2 species
AAUAAAAUCGGCGAUGGAGUUCGCCAUUGACUGCUGAUUUCAGCUAAUGACUCCUACUUGUUU